AGUGAACGCUGGCGGUAGGCCUAACACAUGCAAGUCGAACGGCAGCACAGUAAGAGCUUGCUCUUACGGGUGGCGAGUGGCGGACGGGUGAGGAAUACAUCGGAAUCUACUUUUUCGUGGGUGAUUACGUAGGGACACUUACGCUAAUACCUCAUACGACCUACGGGUGAAAGCAGUGGAUCUUCGGACCUUGCGCGAUUCAAUUAGCCGACGUCGCAUUAGCUAGUUGGCGGGGUAAAGGCCCACCAAGGCGACGCUCCGUAGCUGGUCUGAGAGGAUGAUCAGCCACACUGGAACUGAGACACGGUCCAGACUCCUACGGGAGGCAGCAGUGGGGAAUAUUGGACAAUGGGCGCAAGCCUGAUCCAGCCAUACCGCGUGGGUGAAGAAGGCCUUCGGGUUGUAAAACCCUGUUGUUGGGAAAGAAAAGCAGCAGGUUAAUACCCCGAUGUUCUGACGGUACCCAAAGAAUAAGCACCGGCUAACUUCGUG
rnacentral:rRNA from 1 species